CAAUUACAGAAAGCAGAUGGCAGAGCAGUUCCUGAGUCAGGCCCUGGGCAUCAUCUGCCUGCUGACCGGAGAGGAAUAUGUCAUCGUGAAAAAGAGGUCCUCCCAGAGCAGCGUUCACCGGCAGAGCAGAGAGGUGCCUAUAAAGUGUGAUGAUGUUGCUGUGUAUUUCUCUAUGGAGGAGUGGGAGUAUAUA